AACGAACGCUGGCGGCAUGCCUAACACAUGCAAGUCGAACGAGACCUUCGGGUCUAGUGGCGCACGGGUGCGUAACGCGUGGGAAUCUGCCCUUGGGUUCGGAAUAACUCGCCGAAAGGCGUGCUAAUACCGGAUGAUGACGUAAGACCAAAGAUUUAUCGCCCAAGGAUGAGCCCGCGUAGGAUUAGCUAGUUGGUGAGGUAAAAGCUCACCAAGGCGACGAUCCUUAGCUGGUCUGAGAGGAUGAUCAGCCACACUGGGACUGAGACACGGCCCAG
rnacentral:rRNA from 1 species